rnacentral:rRNA from 1 species
GAUGAACGCUGGCGGCGUGCCUAAUACAUGCAAGUCGAGCGAACAGACGAGGAGCUUGCUCCUCUGACGUUAGCGGCGGACGGGUGAGUAACACGUGGAUAACCUACCUAUAAGACUGGGAUAACUUCGGGAAACCGGAGCUAAUACCGGAUGAUAUAUUGAACCGCAUGGUUCAAUAGUGAAAGACGGUGUUGCUGUCACUUAUAGAUGGAUCCGCGCUGCAUUAGCUAGUUGGUAAGGUAACGGCUUACCAAGGCAACGAUGCGUAGCCGACCUGAGAGGGUGAUCGGCCACACUGGAACUGAGACACGGUCCAGACUCCUACGGGAGGCAGCAGUAGGGAAUCUUCCGCAAUGGGCGAAAGCCUGACGGAGCAACGCCGCGUGAGUGAUGAAGGUCUUCGGAUCGUAAAACUCUGUUAUUAGGGAAGAACAUAUGUGUAAGUAACUGUGCACGUCUUGACGGUACCUAAUCAGAAAGCCACGGCUAACUACGUG